UGCUAUAGAAAAUUUGGGGCUUCUGAUC
rnacentral:sRNA from 1 species